rnacentral:rRNA from 1 species
GGUUUAAUUCGAAGCAACGCGAAGAACCUUACCUGCUCUUGACAUCUCCCUGACCGGCAAGUAAUGUUGCCUUUCCUUCGGGACAGGGAUGACAGGUGGUGCAUGGUUGUCGUCAGCUCGUGUCGUGAGAUGUUGGGUUAAGUCCCGCAACGAGCGCAACCCCUAUCUUUAGUAGCCAGCGGUUUGGCCGGGCACUCUAGAGAGACUGCCAGGGAUAACCUGGA